rnacentral:rRNA from 1 species
AUGAACGCUGGCGGCGUGCCUAACACAUGCAAGUCGAACGAGCAAAUACAUUUGAUUUCUUCGGAAUGAAGAUGUAGGCGCGAGUGGCGGACGGGUGAGUAACGCGUGAGUAAUCUGCCUCAUACAGGAGAAUAACACUAAGAAAUUGGUGCUAAUACUCCAUAAGCUCACAUUAUGACAUCAUAGAGUGAGAAAAGAUUUAUCGGUAUGAGAGGAGCUCGCGUCUGAUUAGCUAGUUGGUGGGGUAACGGCCUACCAAGGCAACGAUCAGUAGCCGACCUGAGAGGGUGAUCGGCCACAUUGGAACUGAGACACGGUCCAAACUCCUACGGGAGGCAGCAGUGGGGAAUAUUGCACAAUGGGGGAAACCCUGAUGCAGCAACGCCGCGUGAAGGAAGAAGUAUUUCGGUAUGUAAACUUCUAUCGACAGGGAAGAAACAAAUGACGGUACCUGAAUAAGAAGCACCGGCUAAAUACGUGCCAGCAGCCGCGGUAAUACGUAUGGUGCAAGCGUUAUCCGGAUUUACUGGGUGUAAAGGGUGAGUAGGCGGUCAUGCAAGUCAUAUGUGAAAUGUCAGGGCUUAACCUUGGCGCUGCAUAAGAAACUGUAUGACUAGAGUGCAGGAGAGGUAAGCGGAAUUCCUAGUGUAGCGGUGAAAUGCGUAGAUAUUAGGAAGAACACCGGUGGCGAAGGCGGCUUACUGGACUGUUACUGACGCUGAGUCACGAAAGCGUGGGGAGCAAACAGGAUUAGAUACCCUGGUAGUCCACGCCGUAAACGAUGAGUGCUAGGUGUUGGCCAGAGAUGGUCGGUGCCGCAGCAAACGCAAUAAGCACUCCACCUGGGGAGUACGACCGCAAGGUUGAAACUCAAAGGAAUUGACGGAAG